GUGGGGAAUCUUGCGCAAUGGGCGAAAGCCUGACGCAGCCAUGCCGCGUGAAUGAUGAAGGUCUUAGGAUUGUAAAAUUCUUUCACCGGGGACGAUAAUGACGGUACCCGGAGAAGAAGCCCCGGCUAACUUCGUGCCAGCAGCCGCGGUAAUACGAAGGGGGCUAGCGUUGCUCGGAAUUACUGGGCGUAAAGGGCGCGUAGGCGGACAGUUUAGUCAGAGGUGUAAGCCCAGGGCUCAACCUUGGAAUUGCCUUUGAUACUGGCUGUCUUGAGUACGGGAGAGGUGAGUGGAACUCCGAGUGUAGAGGUGAAAUUCGUAGAUAUUCGGAAGAACACCAGUGGCGAAGGCGACUCACUGGCCCGUUACUGACGCUGAGGCGCGAAAGCGUGGGGAGCAAACAGGAUUAGAAACCCUGGUCC
rnacentral:rRNA from 1 species